GAUGAUGUACUUAUGCAAUCAUUGGUUCGGAAAGAAGAAACUGAAAGAAUUACAAAUUUAGAUUGCCAUGAAUUAGUAGUUGUUCUCCACCAGGAAGUGGACAAGGUAAAAGAGAGUGAAAAUAAAGUGUUUGCUCACCUGAACAAAAGUAAUGAGUUGGACUCUGAAUUUUCACAAAGUGUAGGAAAAGAAUGUUCAAGAUCUUCAAAAUUCGACAUGCUUUCUUCCUCCAAUGUCUCGAUAGAUGUCCUUCACUUGAUGUCACCAUUAUUUCAAGAAGUAGAGAAUACAUGCUUUGCAAACUUGGAGCUCCAAAAUGUUGUUCCUAAAGAUAAAGCACACGGAGAAAUCAAUGAUCAUGUGGUCUUAACCUUGGCCAAGAACGAAGAAUUGACCAUCAAUUUUUUAUACAAUGAAGGUAUUUAAUUUAGCCAAGCAAGCAUGCUCUUAACGAUCACAUUCGAUAAGCUACGCGUAUUAUAUAGUUAGUGAUUGCAUCUAUAGUUUUUAGUAAUUAACUUUUAAUCCAAAAGAAAAUGUUUUAGUUCCA